CAGGGAUUGCCCUAGUAACGGCGAGUGAAGCGGCAAGAGCUCAAAUUUGAAAUCUGGCUCUUUCAGAGUCCGAGUUGUAAUUUGUAGAGGGCGCUUUGGUGUUGGCUACGGCCUAAGUUCCUUGGAACAGGACGUCACAGAGGGUGAGAACCCCGUACGUGGUUGCUGGCCUUCACCGUGUAAAGCCCCUUCGACGAGUCGAGUUGUUUGGGAAUGCAGCUCUAAAUGGGAGGUAAAUUUCUUCUAAAGCUAAAUACUGGCCAGAGACCGAUAGCGCACAAGUAGAGUGAUCGAAAGAUGAAAAGCACUUUGGAAAGAGAGUCAAAAAGCACGUGAAAUUGUUGAAAGGGAAGCGCUUGCAGCCAGACUUGCCUGUAGUUGCUCAUCCGAGCUCUUGCUCGGUGUACUCUUCUGCGGGCAGGCCAGCAUCAGUCCAGGCGGUCGGAUAAAGGCCUUGGAAAUGUAGCUCUCUUCGGGGAGUGUUAUAGUCCAGGGUGUCAUGCGACCAGCUUGGACUGAGGUCCGCGCAUCUGCUAGGAUGCUGGCGUAAUGGCUGUAAGCGGCCCGUCUUGAAACACGGACCAAGGAGUCUAACAUCUAUGCGAGUGUUUGGGUGUCAAGCCCGGGCGCGCAAUGAAAGUGAACGGAGGUGGGAACCCUUCGGGGCGCACCAUCGACCGAUCCUGAUGUCUUCGGAUGGAUUUGAGUAAGAGCAUAGCUGUUGGGACCCGAAAGAUGGUGAACUAUGCCUGAAUAGGGUGAAGCCAGAGGAAACUCUGGUGGAGGCUCGCAGCGGUUCUGACGUGCAAAUCGAUCGUCAAAUUUGGGCAUAGGGGCGAAAGACUAAUCGA
rnacentral:rRNA from 1 species